rnacentral:rRNA from 1 species
GUCUAUCGAAUCGUUGCAAUUGAUGUUCGAUCUCGAAGAGAAGGAAGAGAUCAUAAAGUAGGUUUUUAUGAUCCGAUAAAGAAUCAAACUUGUUUAAAUGUUCCAGCUAUUCGCUAUUUCCUUGAAAAGGGUGCUCAGCCGACAAGAACUGUUUAUGAUAUUUUUAGGAAGGCGGAAUUCUUUAAAGAAAAAGAAAGAACUUUGAGUUAA